rnacentral:rRNA from 1 species
AUUGAACGCUGGCGGCAUGCCUUACACAUGCAAGUCGAACGGUAACGCGGGGCAACCUGGCGACGAGUGGCGAACGGGUGAGUAAAGCAUCGGAACGUGCCCAGUAGUGGGGGAUAGCCCGGCGAAAGCCGGAUUAAUACCGCAUACGACCUAUGGGUGAAAGCGGGGGAUCGCAAGACCUCGCGCUAUUGGAGCGGCCGAUGUCAGAUUAGGUAGUUGGUGGGGUAAAGGCCUACCAAGCCGACGAUCUGUAGCUGGUCUGAGAGGACGACCAGCCACACUGGGACUGAGACACGGCCCAGACUCCUACGGGAGGCAGCAGUGGGGAAUUUUGGACAAUGGGGGCAACCCUGAUCCAGCCAUGCCGCGUGCGGGAAGAAGGCCUUCGGGUUGUAAACCGCUUUUGUCAGGGAAGAAAUCUUUUGGGUUAAUACCUCGGAAGGAUGACGGUACCUGAAGAAUAAGCACCGGCUAACUACGUGCCAGCCGCCGCCGUAAGAC